rnacentral:rRNA from 1 species
UACGUAGGGUGCGAGCGUUGUCCGGAAUUACUGGGCGUAAAGAGCUCGUAGGUGGUUUGUCGCGUUGUUCGUGAAAUCUCACGGCUUAACUGUGAGCGUGCGGGCGAUACGGGCAGACUGGAGUACUGCAGGGGAGACUGGAAUUCCUGGUGUAGCGGUGGAAUGCGCAGAUAUCAGGAGGAACACCGGUGGCGAAGGCGGGUCUCUGGGCCUGACCUGACGCUGAGGAGCGAAAGCGUGGGGAGCGAACAGG